rnacentral:rRNA from 1 species
AGUGAACGCUGGCGGCAUGCCUAACACAUGCAAGUCGAACGGUAACAGGCCCGCAAGGGUGCUGACGAGUGGCGGACGGGUGAGGAAUACAUCGGAAUUUGCCCAGUCGUGGGGGAUAACGUAGGGAAACUUACGCUAAUACCGCAUACGACCUAACGGUGAAAGCGGGGGAGUCGCAAGACCUCGCGCGGAUGGAUAAGCCGAUGUCGGAUUAGCUAGUUGGCGGGGUAAAGGCCCACCAAGGCGACGAUCCGUAGCUGGUCUGAGAGGAUGAUCAGCCACACUGGGACUGAGACACGGCCCAGACUCCUACGGGAGGCAGCAGUGGGGAAUAUUGGACAAUGGGGGCAACCCUGAUCCAGCAAUGCCGCGUGUGUGAAGAAGGCC